rnacentral:tmRNA from 1 species
GGGGACGCUACGGAUUCGACAGGGAUAGUUCGAGCUUAAGUUGCGAGUCGAGGGGAUCGGCCUCGUUAAAACGUCAAAGCCUAUAACUGGCAAACAACAAAACUCUUUCGCUUUAGCUGCUUAAUAACAGUUUAAAGUGGUUCGCCCCUCCAUCGCCUGUGUGGUAGGGUAGCGGACUCAAAUUUAGCAGGCUACGCCGGAGUCCACCGUCUGAGGAUGAAGGAAGAGAACAACCAGACUAGCUGCCCGGACGCCUGUCGAUAGGCAAAUGGAGCAGCGAAACAUCAAUAUGUCGACUACACUCGUAGAAGCUUAAGUGGCGAUGUUUCUGGACGAGGGUUCGACUCCCUCCGUCUCCACCA